rnacentral:sRNA from 1 species
AUUAGUCUUUGUGCUGUUAUAGACUUCUGGGUCUUGUGUGGCUUGAGUGAAGCUAAUGCAUAUGAGAGAGCAAUAUUAUUGAUGGCUGCUGGGAUACCUCACAUUUGGCGUCUAAUCCUCUGACAUUUAUGUUUCCGUUCCGCUUUGUUCUGUUCUGUUCUGCCGUUUUAUUCGGCCCCGAAGCUACGCUCUUUACAUGGUACCCUGCCCAAGAGGAUUUUUUUCCUAGCUGGCAAUGAUGAUGCUGUAUUCUGGAGGCACAUUUGCAAGGAGUUGAAGCAAAGGAAGAGGAUCUUUUCCUACAGCUGAAAUUUUUGAAAUGACUUCAGUGUGAAAAUGGAGUUUAAGAUGCAGAUUUAUGGCUCCUUGCCUGAGUGAGCUUGAUCAAGCUUCAUGGUUACUUGUAUGUAGGAGGCUUUGUCCCUUGUACUCUUGGCCCAGGCUGAUGGAGCAGGCAUCAUCAAAAGCCCUUGUCACUGUUGUCUCAGCACACAGUUCUGAAGAAACCAAUGAAACACUUCUGACUACAUGCUUCAUGUGGCAUGCUCCUUAUCUACUUACAAUGGAGCUGGUCAUUUGUCCAGACACACCUAGUCCAGGAAGGGCAGUCUUAUGGUCACCAGCAUUAAGAAAAACAGAGGUCUGUUCGCUUUCAUUAAAGCCUGCUCUAAUUCUGGCAUAAGUUGCUGUUGUCUUUGACAGCUCUGUUUUAUGCUUCUCCAUUUGAUGUAUGGGAAACUUGCUCUGAACCAGGUUUGGAGGAGAAGGGGCAUGAGAUUUGGGUAAAAUAUUGGGUCAAAAUUUGGGAAAAAAUAGCGAAAGGGAAAAAAGGGAGAUGUCCUAGAAAAUGUAGGAUGAAAGCAAGAUGAUGAAAGUAAGAAAACCAAAGAAACUGUAGUCUAGCAUAUUCGACACAGAGUCAAAAGGUACAGUGGACUACAGAAUAUGUAGAGGUCCUUUUAGAACUGUCCAGCUUGUCUUAGAAGUCUCCAAUGUCUGGGACUCUUAGAAGAGCUUUCAUAUAUAGUGUUUCCUGGUCAAAUAAGAACAGCAGAAACCCACAGCUGAGCAUAUGGCUUUUUAUAAAAUAUAAUUCCAUAGUAAGAACACUGUCCAUGUGCAAACUCCAGAUUCAUGGCCCUGAGAUAUUCAAUGAACAGAGAAGCCAUUUCUCUGAUGGGUCUCUCAUUAGGGUGACAAGACAUAGAGGGAAAGAUGCUGCAGAUAGAAACAGAAUGGAAUGAAAAGGAAUUCAGAGAUCAAAAAAGGGUUCCAAGAAAAGGCUCCAUGAAGGAGGAGCACCUCCCGCUGAUGGGUGAUAGGAUUCCAGGGAGUAUUUUGGUUUGUUGGUUGUUGGCCUCUCUUGGCUGUAGCCUUUUGCACUUUGGAUGACAUUCCAAACAUGUUAAAGCUCCGACAAUAACCAGAACAAGUAGGCAGAGAUGAGGAGUUGUGAAUCAGUUUUCUCCCCCAGGACUAAUUCAGAGCACAUCAUACUGGAAAGCAAGAUGUGGCCAGGCCACCUGCUCCAGCACCCUGUCAGGCCACCUGCUUCAGCACCCUGUCAGGCCACCUGCUUCAGCACCCUGUCAGGCCACCUGCUCCAGCACCCUGUCAGGCAACCUGCUCCAGCACCCUGCCAGGCAAGUUCAGUGAGCCAAGAUGUUGCAGAAAGACUUCAACCCACAGUUUCUACCACUGCUAGGUGUAGCAGAUGGCACCUACUGGACAUAGCUGCUUGUUAUCCUGGGGCAUCUGCUUACAGGGAGCAGCCUGUCACUGAUUGCUGCCGCUCUCUGCCCACAUUCAACGUCUAUGGGUAGAUCAGAAAGCCAUCAAGACAACGACCAGUGUCAUGAGCUGCAGUGUUUGACCAGUGGACAGAAGGUAGGAAAUUGGAGUCUACUUUUCCUAAAAGGAAAGAAGAUAUACUUUUGCUUCAUACUGUUCAAAUUUUUUAGUACUUUAAAUAAACUUUUAAAGAUUGCAACAUUAUCUGUGGAUGAAGCUAAAUUUUCCUGGGAAGAAGUUAACUGCAGUUCACUUGCUCAACAUCCAGGAAGCUAAUAAUCUCAUGUUAUUUUAAAAGUUGACAAAUUUGUCCUAUUUAAUGAGUCCAUUGACAUCACGGCAGUGUGGAUGUGGAACCCUAAGAUGGGGCAGAGAGGGUAGAAAGAGUGUUCCUGGGAAUCUCCCUUAGAGAACAUCUCUCUAAACAUUUCCCCUUGAAUUGUUUACAAUUCAACGUGGGCAGAGCUCUGAAAUCCUGGCAACAUACCUGGAAGGAGGCUACUGUUCAUGCAGCUCCUGCUGAGGCCUGAGCUCAGGUUGGCAGAGACAGUGUGUGACUGUCAGAAAGUCCCACUUUCUCCAGCUACUAGGCCAUCUCCCACAGAGUGACCAUAUGCUGUGGAGUCCAGGAAACAGGCUCUGCUUACAAGGACACAAUCCACCAAAGAGUUUAUGUUCAAAUGUCCACGGAGCUUGUGAACACUGGGGUGAGUCUUCUAAAGCUCUCUGUUCAGUGUUUAAAAGAUUAUAUCCAAAAGGAGCAGAUAGGUGGGCAUCUAAAAUGCCAUUUCUGAGUACUGUGAUGCCUCAAUGGCUAAUGGCGAUUGCUUCUCUUUUCGAGGACUUGAGUUUGGUUCCAGCGAACUCAGCUUCCUAAAACUCAGAUCCAGAAGAUCAAAUGUUCUCUUCUGUAGUACCCUCAAACACAUAUGUGAACAUAAACACACAUCAAAAUAAAUAUUCAAUAAUUUUUAUUAAUAUUCUUGAAUCAAUAUUUAAGAAAAUAAUCAAUAAAAAUCCCCAAAUGCUAGUGUUGUAUACUUUUGGACAUGUUUCCUCAGAAUAUGAAACAUUAAAAGCAGAAGAAUAUCAUCUCAGUGAAAAUACUGUGUGAUACAUUUCAUGUAUUUGGAGCCUAAAAUAAAGCUUUUUUUUUUACAAUAGUGUCUUGCAUAUAUACACAAAUGUAUACUAGAUGCAUGUGUGUGUGUGUGUGUGUGUGCACUGUACAUUUUGUGAUAAUAAUCUCAGUGCAAUACUGCUGCUGAUAAUGUCAACUUGGAACCAGAAUCUGAGAGCUAACAGAGACAGAACAUGAAGUCUGAGGACAGUGUCACUAAUCAGAAUUUACAUGUCAGCAACGUUCCCACAGAAUUUAUACACACAGAGACAGAAAAGAAGAAAAACCACACCUCCAGACGUAUUAAUGCAUAUUCACUCAUCAAUUAACAAAUACAUAAUUAAAUAAUACAUAUUAAUUCAGGCAAUUUAAAAGAGACAAGGAAAGAGAAUGUAAAAAUGAAAAGUCCGUCUUUUCAUUUCAGUGAUGAAGGUGACAUUACAACAAAUGUCUAGACAAACUUCCAGUGAGGAAAGAAAAAAAAUGAAACAAGACUAGGUACUUCCUGGUCUUCCUUUGAACCAGUUGUCUCCACGGUGACAGCAAUGGAACUUUCAUGAUAUCUUACUAUAGCUUAAUUGAAUUGUGUAAUUAAAUUACCAUGGUUUUUUUUAUAGCACUUACUAUGGGCAGAAUUGUUCUCAGCGCCUUGAGAAAAAUCAACUAGCGCAGUUUGCAUAACAAGCCUGGAAGGAAGUAUAUGGAGGAAGACCGUUUCACACCCCAGCAAACCGACAAAUAGAGCGGCUCAGUUGUGUGUGGAUGGCUACUUUGAUGAUCAAGUGCUAAUAUGUAACACAAGCGUAUACACAGAAGCUAGGUAAUUCAUGGUCUAAUAAAAUAAGACCCGUUUCUUCAGAGGUACUAGAGAGGCUCGAAACGUGAAUCUAGGCAUUCCAAAUGUCACAUAUUUUCCAGUCACUUGUCAUAUUUUGGAAAUC